rnacentral:pre_miRNA from 2 species
GUGAGGACUCGGGAGGUGGAGGGUGGCGUCGCCAAGGCCAGGGCGCUGUCUCAGCUGGCCUCUCCCCCCACCUCCUCUCUCCUCAG